rnacentral:rRNA from 1 species
UACGUAGGGUACGAGCGUUGUCCGGAAUUACUGGGCGUAAAGAGCUCGUAGGCGGCCUGUUGCGUCCGCUGUGAAAUCCCGGGGCUCAACCCCGGGCGUGCAGUGGAUACGGGCUGGCUGGAGGCAGGCAGGGGAGAACGGAAUUCCUGGUGUAGCGGUGAAAUGCGCAGAUAUCAGGAGGAACACCGGUGGCGAAGGCGGUUCUCUGGGCCUGUACUGACGCUGAGGAGCGAAAGCGUGGGGAGCGAACAGG